rnacentral:rRNA from 1 species
UACGGGGGGAGCAAGCGUUGUUCGGAUUUACUGGGCGUAAAGGGCGCGUAGGCGGCCUGUGCAAGUCAGUUGUGAAAUCUCCGAGCUUAACUCGGAACGGUCAACUGAUACUGCUCGGCUAGAGUGCGGAAGGGCAACUGGAAUUCUUGGUGUAGCGGUGAAAUGCGUAGAUAUCAAGAGGAACACCUGCGGCGAAGGCGGGUUGCUGGGCCGACACUGACGCUGAUGCGCGAAAGCUAGGGAGCGAACGGG